rnacentral:rRNA from 1 species
GAUGUACGCUGGCGGCGUGCCUAGUACAUGCAAGUCGAGCGAACAGACGAGGAGCUUGCUCCUCUGACGUUAGCGGCGGACGGGUGAGUAACACGUGGAUAACCUACCUAUAAGACUGGGAUAACUUCGGGAAACCGGAGCUAAUACCGGAUAAUAUAUUGAACCGCAUGGUUCAAUAGUGAAAGACGGUUUUGCUGUCACUUAUAGAUGGAUCCGCGCCGCAUUAGCUAGUUGGUAAGGUAACGGCUUACCAAGGCAACGAUGCGUAGCCGACCUGAGAGGGUGAUCGGCCACACUGGAACUGAGACACGGUCCAGACUCCUACGGGAGGCAGCAGUAGGGAAUCUUCCGCAAUGGGCGAAAGCCUGACGGAGCAACGCCGCGUGAGUGAUGAAGGUCUUCGGAUCGUAAAACUCUGUUAUUAGGGAAGAACAAAUGUGUAAGUAACUAUGCACGUCUUGACGGUACCUAAUCAGAAAGCCACGGCUAACUACGUG